UGGGGAAUCUUGGACAAUGGGCGCAAGCCUGAUCCAGCCAUGCCGCGUGAGUGAAGAAGGCCUUAGGGUUGUAAAGCUCUUUUGCCAGGGACGAUAAUGACGGUACCUGGAGAAUAAGCCCCGGCAAACUUCGUGCCAGCAGCCGCGGUAAUACGAAGGGGGCUAGCGUUGUUCGGAUUUACUGGGCGUAAAGCGCACGUAGGCGGAUCGUUAAGUCAGGGGUGAAAUCCCGGAGCUCAACUCCGGAACUGCCUUUGAUACUGGCGAUCUUGAGGCUGGAAGGGGUUAGUGGAAUUCCCAGUGUAGAGGUGAAGUUCGUAGAUAUUGGGAAGAACACCAGUGGCGAAGGCGGCUAACUGGUCCAGAUCUGACGCUGAGGUGCGAAAGCGUGGGGAGCAAACAGG
rnacentral:rRNA from 1 species